rnacentral:lncRNA from 1 species
AUGGGUGAAAUUGAUCUUGUGGUUGCAUCACAUGCUUUCUCCCAUGCAUCACGUUCGGCCGAAUCGCAGAAAUUGUCGAAAAAAGGACGAAAUUGUAAGUGUCACAAGACCAAAAAGAUUUUCCAAAUCUAUAAACAUGGCGAAUUUAUUAUUUAUCCCCUUAAAGUGAUUGUAUAUAUACUGCUCUCACAUUUAGUUCUUUAGUAAUAAUCAUGAGAUCACUUUGUGUGAGAGAACGGUUGCGAUCCAUAGACUGUUGUAUAUGGAAAAGUUAAUUUCUCCUUACACCGUCUGUGCCUGACUUUAAUUAUCAAAGAUGAUUAGGUCAAUGGUAUGUUACUAAUUGGUGGUUGGAUUUUGUAAUUUUAGCUUGCCUUUCCCAUAGCAUAGUGUACGGGUUGUUGUGCACGCUGCAGUGCCAGUGGGUCUACUCAUGCACGUAUAGACACAGAUUGCGCCAAAAAUUUGUUCUGCCAGACGAGCCUUGUGGUGAUUGUUGUGUUCAUUUCUUCUGUGAACCGUGUGCCCUCUGCCAAGAACAUGAUGAGCUCAAAUCUAGAGGCUUCAACCCCUCCAAAGGUUUUAAACUAAUCCUGCACCACACAUAUAUGUCGUCAUCGUAUAGUUAUGACCUUAAAUUUAUCAUUAUCGGCAUCAUUUACAUCAAUUUUUAUUUUGUAUUUGUUUUUAUGAUGUAGGUUGGAUUGGGCCACCUACGCUGCUCCACAGAUGCCUCCUUCGAUGA